UCUCCGUUGGUGAACCAGCGGAGGGAUCAUUACCGAGUUUUGCAACUCCCAAACCCCUCUGUGAACCUAUCCCGACACGUUUCUUCGGCGGGAUCGCCCCGGCGCCCUCAGCGGCGGCCGGGUCAAGGCGCCCGGCGAAGGACCACACCAAACUCUACAGAUUUUCUUCAGUCGUCUGCUUAGUGACACAAAAAAAAUGAAUCAAAACUUUCAACAACGGAUCUCUUGGUUCUG
rnacentral:misc_RNA from 1 species